GACGAACGCUGGCGGCGGGCUUAACACAUGCAAGUCGAACGGAAAGGCCCUGCGUUUGUGGUGUGCUCGAGUGGCGAACGGGUGAGUAACACGUGAGUAACCUGCCCUUGACUUUGGGAUAACUUCAGGAAACUGGGGCUAAUACCGUAUAGGAGCUCCUGCUGCAUUGUGGGGGGUGGAAAGUUUCGGCGGUUGGGGAUGGACUCGCGGCUUAUCAGCUUGUUGGUGGGGUAGUGGCUUACCAAGGCUUUGACGGGUAGCCGGCCUGAGAGGGUGACCGGCCACAUUGGGACUGAGAUACGGACCAGACUCCUACGGGAGGCAGCAGUGGGGAAUAUUGCACAAUGGGCGGAAGCCUGAUGCAGCAACGCCGCGUGCGGGAUGACGGCCUUCGGGUUGUAAACCGCUUUAGCCUGUGACGAAGCGUGAGUGACGGUAAUGGGUAAAGAAGCACCGGCUAACUACGUG
rnacentral:rRNA from 1 species